ACUGAACGCUGGCGGAAUGCUUACACAUGCAAGUCGAACGGCAGCACGGACUUCGGUCUGGUGGCGAGUGGCGAACAGGUGAGUAAUGUAUCGGAACGUGCCCAGUCGUGGGGGAUAACGUAGUGAAAAUUACGCUAAUACCGCAUACGAUCUAUGGAUGAAAGCGGGGGAUCGCAAGACCUCGCGCGAUUGGAGCGGCCGAUAUCAGAUUAGGUAGUUGGUGGGGUAAAGGCCCACCAAGCCAACGAUCUGUAGCUGGUCUGAGAGGACGACCAGCCACACUGGAACUGAGACACGGUCCAGACUCCUACGGGAGGCAGCAGUGGGGAAUUUUGGACAAUGGGCGAAAGCCUGAUCCAGCCAUUCCGCGUGCAGGAUGAAGGCCCUCGGGUUGUAAACUGCUUUUGUACAGAACGAAAAGGUUUCUACUAAUACUAGGAGCUCAUGACGGUACUGUAAGAAUAAGCACCGGCUAACUACGUGCCAGCCGCCGCAGUAA
rnacentral:rRNA from 1 species